CCGGAGCUAAUACCGGAUAUGACGCGAACGGGCAUCCGUAUCGUGUGGAAAGUUUUUCGGUCUGGGAUGGGCUCGCGGCCUAUCAGCUUGUUGGUGAGGUAGUGGCUCACCAAGGCGACGACGGGUAGCCGGCCUGAGAGGGCGACCGGCCGCACUGGGACUGAGACACGGCCCAGACUCCUACGGGAGGCAGCAGUGGGGAAUAUUGCACAAUGGGCGCAAGCCUGAUGCAGCGACGCCGCGUGAGGGAUGACGGCCUUCGGGUUGUAAACCUCUUUCAGUAGGGAAGAAGCGCAAGUGACGGUACCUACAGAAGAAGCACCGGCUAACUACGUGCCAGCAGCCGCGGUAAUAUGUAGGGUGCGAGCGUUGUCCGGAAUUAUUGGGCGUAAAGAGCUUGUAGGCGGUUUGUCGCGUCUGCUGUGAAAAUCCGGGGCUCAACCCCGGACUUGCAGUGGGUACGGGCAGACUAGAGUGUGGUAGGGGAGACUGGAAUUCCUGGUGUAGCGGUGAAAUGCGCAGAUAUCAGGAGGAACACCGAUGGCGAAGGCAGGUCUCUGGGCCACUACUGACGCUGAGAAGCGAAAGCGUGGGGAGCGAACAGGAUUAGAUACCCUGGUAGUCCACGCCGUAAACGUUGGGAACUAGGUGUGGGUCUCAUUCCACGAGAUCUGUGCCGCAGCUAACGCAUUAAGUUCCCCGCCUGGGGAGUACGGCCGCAAGGCUAAAACUCAAAGAAAUUGACGGGGGCCCGCACAAGCGGCGGAGCAUGUGGAUUAAUUCGAUGCAACGCGAAGAACCUUACCAAGGCUUGACAUGUACCGGAAACGCCCAGAGAUGGGUGCCCCGCAAGGUCGGUACACAGGUGGUGCAUGGUUGUCGUCAGCUCGUGUCGUGAGAUGUUGGGUUAAGUCCCGCAACGAGCGCAACCCUCGUUCCAUGUUGCCAGCAGCGCCUUCGGGUGGCUGGGGACUCA
rnacentral:rRNA from 1 species